rnacentral:rRNA from 1 species
CUGGCUCAGGAUGAACGCUGGCGGCGUGCUUAACACAUGCAAGUCGAACGAUGAAGCCCAGCUUGCUGGGUGGAUUAGUGGCGAACGGGUGAGUAACACGUGAGUAACCUGCCCUUAACUCUGGGAUAAGCCUGGGAAACUGGGUCUAAUACCGGAUAGGAGCGUCCACCGCAUGGUGGGUGUUGGAAAGAUUUAUCGGUUUUGGAUGGACUCGCGGCCUAUCAGCUUGUUGGUGAGGUAAUGGCUCACCAAGGCGACGACGGGUAGCCGGCCUGAGAGGGUGACCGGCCACACUGGGACUGAGACACGGCCCAGACUCCUACGGGAGGCAGCAGUGGGGAAUAUUGCACAAUGGGCGAAAGCCUGAUGCAGCGACGCCGCGUGAGGGAUGACGGCCUUCGGGUUGUAAACCUCUUUCAGUAGGGAAGAAGCGAAAGUGACGGUACCUGCAGAAGAAGCACCGGCUAACUACGUGCCAGCAGCCGCGGUAAUACGUAGGGUGCGAGCGUUAUCCGGAAUUAUUGGGCGUAAAGAGCUCGUAGGCGGUUUGUCGCGUCUGUCGUGAAAGUCCGGGGCUUAACCCCGGAUCUGCGGUGGGUACGGGCAGACUAGAGUGCAGUAGGGGAGACUGGAAUUCCUGGUGUAGCGGUGGAAUGCGCAGAUAUCAGGAGGAACACCGAUGGCGAAGGCAGGUCUCUGGGCUGUAACUGACGCUGAGGAGCGAAAGCAUGGGGAGCGAACAGGAUUAGAUACCCUGGUAGUCCAUGCCGUAAACGUUGGGCACUAGGUGUGGGGACCAUUCCACGGUUUCCGCGCCGCAGCUAACGCAUUAAGUGCCCCGCCUGGGGAGUACGGCCGCAAGGCUAAAACUCAAAGGAAUUGACGGGGGCCCGCACAAGCGGCGGAGCAUGCGGAUUAAUUCGAUGCAACGCGAAGAACCUUACCAAGGCUUGACAUGUUCCCGAUCGCCGUAGAGAUACGAUUUCCCCUUUGGGGCGGGUUCACAGGUGGUGCAUGGUUGUCGUCAGCUCGUGUCGUGAGAUGUUGGGUUAAGUCCCGCAACGAGCGCAACCCUCGUUCCAUGUUGCCAGCACGUAAUGGUGGGGACUCAUGGGAGACUGCCGGGGUCAACUCGGAGGAAGGUGAGGACGACGUCAAAUCAUCAUGCCCCUUAUGUCUUGGGCUUCACGCAUGCUACAAUGGCCGGUACAAUGGGUUGCGAUACUGUGAGGUGGAGCUAAUCCCAAAAAG